rnacentral:hammerhead_ribozyme from 1 species
ACCCAGCUGACGAGCCCCAAAUAGGACGAAGUGCGCAUCUUGAUGGAU